CCUACGGGUGGCAGCAGUGGGGGAUAUUGCACAAUGGGGGGAACCCUGAUGCAGCGACGCCGCGUGGGUGAAGGAGUACUUCGGUAUGUAAAGCCCUAUCGGCAGGGAAGAAUUUAGCCGGUACCUGACUAAGCAGCCCCGGCUCACUACGUGGCAGCAGCCGCGGUAAUCCGUAGGGGGCAAGCGUUAUCCGGAUUCACUGGGUGUAAAGGGAGCGUAGACGGCCAGGCAAGCCUGGAGGGAAAGCCCGGGGCCCAACCCCGGGACAGCUCUGGAAACUGUCCGGCUGGAGGGCGUGAGGGGCAGGCGGAAUGCCUGGUGUUGCGGUGAAAUGCGUAGAUAUCAGGAGGAACACCGGCGGCGAAGGCGGCCUGCUGGACCGCGACUGACGUUGAGGCUCGAAAGCGUGGGGAGCGAACAGGAUUAGAUACCCUUGUAGUC
rnacentral:rRNA from 1 species